ensembl:lncRNA
GUAAGGACAAGUGUUCAUUGGGAAACCCCAUUUGUCUUCCUUCAUGAAGCAGGAGAGCGAGAGCGGAGUCUCAAAGGAAAGCCUCACUCUGCAGCAACGUGCACCCCUUCAAUCUCACAGCCGAAAAGGAGAUGAAGAAAAUGAGAGGAUUGACAGGAUUUGGCAAACUUGGAAGGACGGACAGCACAAGACGUUUAAUGGAGAAGAACCAGGAGGACGAGGUCAUACCGGACGGGCCCGAGCUGGCUCGCCCCAGCUGCGACACCUCGACCCAGAACCCUCAGAGCAACCACGAGGAAAGUGAGAGACGGAUCACAAGUGAGGAGGCGGCCGAACUUCUCUGCGUGGCCCCCGAUGCUUUGACCUCCGAGGCCGGACCCCCGCAGUCCGUCGUUGGCCUCAUAGAGGUGUUUCUGGAACAGCACUUCCCGAAGAUACCGGCCGACGUGGAGCAGACCUUAAGUCGCCACCUGCUGGAGGUGCAGGAGACGCUGCUCAGGGAGCUCGUGAGGUUGGCCCCCCGACUCCAUUCUGAGGGAUUGUUGGAAUGCUGCCACCAGCAGACAUUUAAACAUCUUGAUCAUCUACUUCGGAUCAUCCGCAUCCCCAGAGAAUUGUUAUUUCUGAUUAACUGGGUCCUACAUACAUAUCUGAGCCGGGACCUGCUUGGUCAUCCUGACCUUCAGUGCACAGAUCCCAUAAAAAAGGUCGACCUCCUGCUGUUAACACGGUGGACGUCCCAAGCGGAGGAAAUAUUGUUUGAAAUUCUGAUGACGGAUAUCGGCCGUUGCCUGGAGAAGAUCCUGCAGAUGGAAAUGAACCACGAUGAUCUUUACGUGGACGCGAUUCAGUGCAUUGACGCCGUGCCCCAAAAUGUCCUCAAAAUCAGCCCACAACUGUCUGAUAAGCUGCAGGAGGGUUGCAUGCGAGAGCUGCUGCGGUUUCUGAAAAAGUUCACGGCGGCGCAGAAGGACCUUCUGAGAAAGAAAGCAAAAAUGGACGAACCAGAAACAAAAGAUUUUUUCAGGAAUUUGAAGAACUGUAAAGGACUCAAGCAGUACAUCCAGGAAAAAGACAAAGAGAAAAAAUACCCUCUCAUGGAAAUCAUUGAAGACAUGGAGGCUUUUACUUUGAAACUCCUGAGGGAAAUCUUCGCUGACAUCGCAGAGAGCCGCCUGAAGAAAUACUUCAAAUCACAGAACAAGGAAUUCUCCCUCUUGCUCGAUGACGUAAGAAGCCUCCUCUCAGGUCUGUCCGACUACGAGGACGUUCAGAUGAGAGUGAUGGACGAGGCCUACAAGCUCCUCGCUCACGUUUACCUCAAACGCCUCGUCGGAACGCGCCUGAGCCGCCUGAGGAGGCGCUGGCAGCCCGACGUGGGACGAAGGGUCACCGAGGACGCCGAGCUGCUUCACCACUUCCUCGCGGAUCUGGUUCGCGGGGUCGCUGGCUGGAACGCCAUGCUGCUGAAAGUCGAAGAUCUGUUGAGCGUCGAGAGUCUUGAUGUGAUGAAAGUGACAGCGGCGGAGAUGCAGAAGGAGUGUCACCCGGGGAGCGGUGACCUGCAGCUCCUGCCCGCGCUGCUGCAGUGGCGAGGUCUCUCCGGAUCCCAGAUCAGGGACGUGCAAUAUGCCAUGAUGGACCUACCCGGCUUUCAACUCCCACCCACGCCUGCUUCCUGCUUCUCCUGCUUCACCUGGUGGCGAAGCUGCUGCACGCCGGAAUCCACGGUUGUCAGCGAGGAGGACGGCUCUCAGAUCUGAUGCAAGGGAGUUGGAAUAAGCUUCAAGUAUCGGUCAACCUGUGCGCCUCCCGUCUCAUUCUUACUGUAUUUAUGCACAAGGCUAAAGUGCAACAGAAAGGCCGUGACUUGCGUGGAAUGUGGACGCAGGUUUCCGAAGCGAAGCUCAGCGACAGCGGGUUGGGGCCUCGUGACGUUGAGCUAAGAGGGAAGAGGAAUAACAAGAGUUUGAGUUUGAACACGGUGCCUGAUUGCUCGCUUGUGAAAAAAACCAGAAACCAUUAGCAGAUGUGUGACUUCCAGAGAAAGCUGCUCUCUUUGCUCGUUACUGCUCAUCAGGCUUUGUUGGCCUGCUGGCCAGAGUGAGUCGCCUGGAGGCCGUGGACAGUGAAGAUUAUGCGUCUUUUUGCCGCAGAGCCAAAGCUCUGAUAAUCCAAAACACAAGAACAAAGAAUUCAGAGGCACUAAAGGGAAAAAGUUCACUUGACUUUUACAAAAAGGACUCUUUUGUUUCAAACCCUUUAAGGACCAUUUGUUGUUUCCUUUGUGUGCUGAGAGUUUUGAGCUGCACUGAUACUAAGCUCUGUCUCUUCAUUAUGAUGAAACGUUGCACAUUUCCAAACUUCACUGUAAAGAUUCUUCUCAGUAUUUAUUUCAGUUUGUAUUUAUUGGUUUUAAUUCCCUCUUCAUUCCCGGUACAAAGUCAUAUUUUCUGCUUUAAUUUAACAGUGAAUUCCUUUUAACUUUAUUAAUGUUGUACAUUGUGUUACUUUGUGGUGGUUCGUGUAGUUAAUAAGUUGCAAAUAAGGUUAAAGGGGCAAAACAAACAAAAACGCUUUUCUUUUUCUGUCAGUAAAGAAAUGAAUAAAACGAUUCCCCGGAAAGGAAGACUUUGCCUGCGUGUUCAUUGAACGUCACCAGAGGGAGACAAACAUCGAACAGAAAACAGAUCCCAGAACAGCUUCUCCAUCCAGGGCGCGUGCCCCCAGAAUGCAGCUGUGGC